rnacentral:rRNA from 1 species
GGUCAAGCUCGUAAGGGUGCAUGGUGGAUGCCUAGGCGUCCAGAGGCGAUGAAAGACGUGGCAGGCUGCGAUAAGCUCCGGGGAGUUGUCAAACGAGCGUUGAUCCGGAGAUUUCUGAAUGGGGAAACCCGUUGUCACUUAAUAGGUGGCAUCACUGGCGUGUGAAUGUAUAUCGCGUCAGAGCCAACCCAGGGAACUGAAACAUCUCAGUACCUGGAGGAAAGGAAAUCAACCGAGACUCCGUGAGUAGCGGCGAGCGAAAGCGGAUCUAGCCCAAACCGGGCUUCGGCCCGGGGUUGCGGGGCCUCGAGGAGUUACAAAGGCGCGACUAGCGGAAUGGCUUGGAAAGGCCAACGAUACAGGGUGACAGUCCCGUACGCGAAGGUCGUUGCUCUCCGUUGAGAGGAUUCCCAGAGUAGCACGGAUGCCGUGGAACUCCGUGUGAAGCCGGGGGGCCCACCCUCCAAGGCUAAGUACUCCUGGACGACCGAUAGUGUACAAGUAUGGCGACUGAAAGGUGAAAAGUACCCCAAUAAGGGGAGUUAAAAGUACCUGAAACCAUGCAUCUACAAGCAGUCGAAGACCUAUGGUCGCCUUCGGGCGACAAUGGUCGACGGCGUACCUUUUGCAUAAUGGACCGGUGAGUUACUCCUCUACGGCAAGGCUAAGCCGUUCAGCGGCGGAGCCGCAGCGAAAGCGAGUCUGAAUAGGGCGAUUUAGUCGUAGGGGGUAGACCCGAAACUGAGUGAUCUACCCAUGGGCAGAGUGAAGUGCUCUUAACCGAGCGCGGAGGCUCGAAGCCGUAAACGUUGAAAAGUUUUGGCAUGACCUGUGGGGAGGAGUAAAAGUCUAAUCAAACUCAGAGAUAUCUGGUUCUCCCCGAAAAUGCUCUAGGGCAUGCCUCAGGCCACUACACCGUGGGGGUAGAGCUACUGAAUGGAUCGAGGGGGCUACCCGCCUACCUCCUCCAAUCAAACUCCGAAUACCAUGGUGAUUAUCCUGGGAGAAAGUCUACGGGUGAUAAUGUCCGUGGACUAAAGGGAAACAACCCAGACC